rnacentral:rRNA from 1 species
CAGCCGCCACGGGAAUACAGAGGGUGCGAGCGUUAAUCGGAUUUACUGGGCGUAAAGCGUGUGUAGGUUGUUGUUCAAGUCAGUUGUGAAAUCCCUGGGCUCAACUUGGGAACUGCUUCUGAGACUGAACGACUAGAGUACGGUAGAGGGUGGUGGAAUUUCCGGUGUAGCGGUGAAAUGCGUAGAUAUCGGAAGGAACAUCAAUGGCGAAGGCAGCCACCUGGGCCUGUACUGACACUGAGACACGAAAGCGUGGGGAUCAAACAGGAUUAGAUACCCCCGUAGUCCCUGUCUCUUAUAC